GAUGCUUUGGAAGUAAAAGUUGUCAACGACAAGCCUGACAUCACCCAAAGGCCAGCUCUUUUUACAGUAAACCAGGAUGCAGCUGACAAGACAGACUCCAGUAAGAAUCCUCAGCGUUGAUCAAGCAAGUCCACAUCUAACCCAUCUAGAGUGGGAAUCAUCUUGGAAGAAAACUUUGUAAUGGAUGAACCGACCGAUCUCAGGCCUUCUAUGUCCA